AAUUUACCAGUUGAUUUGUAUCUAUUGAGCGUUGUGGCUCAUUUCCCAAGCAGUUGUAACAGAAAUUUUUAAAGCAUUCUGCAGCUGCAAUAAUUUAAUGCCCCCUGUUUGCCAAGCCAAUUGUGAGAAAAUUCUCAGAGGGACAAAUGAUGACGGAGAUGCUUUCCACUUCAUCCAUCGGCAAACCUCCGCGUAGCAACUUCUUUCCGGCUUAUGGCAAACCUUUUCGACCUUCCUUCAUUUGUUGCGUUAGGAAGAAAGCAGAGAAUAAUGGCUCAUCUAGUGGACCUUUGCAGUUAGAGUUGGGAAACCAGAGUAGUGAUGAGAAUAUUCCACAAAUGAGGAGUGGCAUUUGGAAACUUUUCGGAGAAGCUCAACAGAAUAUCUUGUACUUGAACAAACAACGCAUCAUGGCGAUGGAAGAGCUUGAUAGAGUAAAAAGAGAGAAAAGUUCAUUGCUUGAUCGAAUCGAGCAACUAGAGAGGACAAAGCUGAUUAAUAUAAGAAAAGAUAAGUUCUCAAUCAGCGCUGAGUUACUACUAAGGAUAGACUCUAUGGUUCUUACCAGUUUGAUUGGCAGCAAGGAGGCAUCAGAGUUUGGAAGGCUGGUCAUGGAUUCAAUAGGUAGGAUAGGUGAUUAUUUCUCUGAGAUAAUGCAUAAACAGGAUACCGAGCUUCUGGUUGAGCUGCGUCACUUCCCCGAGAAAAGUAGAAAGUCGGGUUACCACAUAAUCCACAUUUGUACUGAAAUCUUGCAAAGGAAGGGAAAUCUGGUCGAGGUUGUCUUACCCAAGUAUGCUUGCCUAAAUUUAAAUGAAGUUCAUGGAUUACGAGAAGUUGUCACGGAGUUCCAUUCAUACUUUAAUGGUCAACUACAUGGAAACAGAAUCUGGACUGGGGUUGUCUGUGGCAUUGGAGUGACUUUCAUAGAACCUCUCUACUAUUCGUCAUUUUUCAGCUGUGAGAACAUAUGGCUACUCAAAUGAUUUUGAACGAUUCACCUACUUCUCUCGUGCUUCAUUGGAUUAUAUAGUUAAAGCAGGAGAACAGCCGGAUGUGCUUCAUAUACACAACUGGGAAACAUCUAUUGUUGGUCCGCUGUUUUGGGAUGUUUUUGUAAAUCAGGGACUUGGAGGUACCAGGAUACUGUUGACAUGUCAAAGCUUUGAGUCUCAGUGUGUAGAGCAACCUGAAAAGUUAUUCCUAUGUGGGCUUGAUCCUCACGGACUACAUUGUUUUGACCGUCUGCAAGCUAACAACAAGUCCCAUCUUGUCAAUGUUUUGAAGGCUGGAGUUGUUUACUCCAAUGACAUUAUUAUAAUGUCAUUCAUGCAAACAAAAGGGCAGAUAAUUCAUGCUACGAGUCAUGGUCUUGAGCCCACCUUAACCAUACACAAGGACAAGUUAGUAGUUGCUCCUCCUGGAUUUGAAAAUUCAGCUUGGGAUCCUUUAGUAGAUAAGUUUCUUCCACAAAACUACAGUGCAGAUAAUAUGAAGGGGAAAUCUGUCUGCAAAGUUUCGUUGCAGCAGCAUCUAGGGUUGCAGGAGAAAGCAUCCAUUGUUCUUGUAGGAUGCAUCUUCUCAGACAUCUCUGAUAUUGAACUGGAGAACCUCAAGACGCUUAUUUGGAUGGCUUCAAGGAGAGGUGUUCAGUUUGUCUUCAUGGGCUCGGGUCAACCUCCUGGUUUAAAUACGGCGUUGGAAUAUUUUGAGGAGGAACUCAAGCUCAAGGCCAUGAGAUAUGGAGCUAUGCCUAUUCUACUGGAUUGUACUGACAAUAAAUUCAGGCACUUUGUGUGUCGUGAUCCUGAGGGCACAGAAUUCUCUCGUUGUAUCAAAGAUACCUUCUCCAAUAUGCUCCUGAACCAAGCAAUUGAUGAACUUAAGAACAAUCCAUCAGAAUGGGACAAGAAGAUUGUCGACGCCAUGACAAAGGAUUUUUCGUGGGAUGCAGAGUGCUGUGACAUUCAUAUCUCCGCAUAUACAGCAAUAAAGAUCUUGUAAAGUAGAUUUUCUUUACAUAUUCACGUAUUUAUAUCUCUGUCCAUGCCAUGUGAGUGCCUAUUACAUAUAAGAGGACGGUUUUUUGUUAACUUGGGAAAAAAAAUGAGUAGAAUGCCUAUUUUAUUUUUAGAGUAAUAAUUGUUUAGUCAAUAGGACGGACACAAGUGAGGGCAUUGCCAAUUUCAACGAAUAAUUGAUGUGAAAAAGUACACCCCUUCCCCCUCUUCUAUGACACCCAUCUCCUGCCCCCACCUAAAAGAGAAAUUGAUUAAGUGAAUAAAAAUUUUGAAACAGUGAAUAUCGUCAAUUUGGUAAGAAUUCACUGCACGACUCAUGGAUAGGAAAUGUGUACCAUAUGUAGAUUCAUUUUCAAAUAUAGAGAUAUGUCAUUUUCUUGGCAUGGACUAAAAAAAAUGGUGUUAGACAAAUUGAAACACAGAGUAUAUUGGCAGCGGCAGGUUUAUGAUUUAAAGAUUGUGGGUGUACUGCUCUAUAUAUUUUAUAUAUUAUAUUACUCAGAUCUUUCUCUGUUUAUAUAACUAAAAUUUCAUAUAAUGAUUUGUAAAUAUGAUA